UAAGUUUUUCUAAUGCCAGGUAGGUGUCU
rnacentral:piRNA from 1 species